AAGGCCUUCGUAACCCAUUUAGCGGAUAUGCACAAUGGUUUGACUUGUGUAAUGAAUUGGUUUCAGUGAGAGCAGGAUCCUGAAGGUGUUUGAGGAGUUGGAGGAGGAGUUGAGGUCGAGGAAGAAAGAUCUGCUGGGGGAUCUGAGGAGGAAAAAAGCUCAACAGUCACAGCCCCUUCAGAACGACAAAAAAGCACUCGAAAAAGAACUGGGAUCUGUGCAGCGCAAAUUUGAGAACAGCUGCAAUGUCAGUGUAAGUGCGCUGCGUGCAGGGCUAAACUCAAUCGGAGGCGGUAAUGUAGAUGACAGCAAGUUCGCACACCUGUGCUCAUGUAAUUACAAGUCCAAGGAGUGUCUGCAACAAUUCGAGCAGUUAGCCGAACAGAGCGACCAGGUCAACCAACCGAAUCUGGUCAGAUUCAAGUACAAGGAGACCAUUGACGAGCUAAAAGGCUCGGUGUCUUCAUUCGCCGAGAUAGAAGUUUAUCCGAAGAACGUAUGAGACGGAAAAUAACAGCCAAAAGUUGAAAAACUGCGGAAUCGCUAGCUUAAAAGUUUAUAUUUUAUGUGAGCAUAUUGUAAGUUUUUCUGUGAGAAAAUUCAAACCUGAAAUGA